UACAGAGGUCUCAAGCGUUGUUCGGAUUCAUUGGGCGUAAAGGGCGCGUAGGCGGCGGGGUACGUCGGGUGUGAAAUCUCAGAGCUCAACUCUGAAACUGCACUCGAUACUGCUCUGCUUGAGGACUGGAGAGGAGACUGGAAUUCACGGUGUAGCAGUGAAAUGCGUAGAUAUCGUGAGGAAGACCAGUGGCGAAGGCGGGUCUCUGGACAGUUCCUGACGCUGAGGCGCGAAGGCCAGGGGAGCAAACGGG
rnacentral:rRNA from 1 species